rnacentral:rRNA from 1 species
GACGAACGCUGGCGGCGUGCCUAAUACAUGCAAGUAGAACGCUGAAGGAGGAGCUUGCUUCUCUGGAUGAGUUGCGAACGGGUGAGUAACGCGUAGGUAACCUGCCUGGUAGCGGGGGAUAACUAUUGGAAACGAUAGCUAAUACCGCAUAAGAGUAGAUGUCGCAUGACAUUUGCUUAAAAGGUGCAAUUGCAUCACUACCAGAUGGACCUGCGUUGUAUUAGCUAAUUGGUGAGGUAACGGCUCACCAAGGCAACGAUACAUAGCCGACCUGAGAGGGUGGUCGGCCACACUGGGACUGAGACACGGCCCAGACUCCUACGGGAGGCAGCAGUAGGGAAUCUUCGGCAAUGGACGGAAGUCUGACCGAGCAACGCCGCGUGAGUGAAGAAGGUUUUCGGAUCGUAAAGCUCUGUUGUAAGAGAAGAACGAGUGUGAGAGUGGAAAGUUCACACUGUGACGGUAUCUUACCAGAAAGGGACGGCUAACUACGUG